UACGUAGGGUGCAAGCGUUACUCGGAAUUACUGGGCGUAAAGCGUGCGCAGGCGGUGAUGUAAGACAGAUGUGAAAUCCCCGGGCUCAACCUGGGAACUGCAUUUGUGACUGCAUCGCUAGAGUACGGCAGAGGGGGAUGGAAUUCCGCGUGUAGCAGUGAAAUGCGUAGAUAUGCGGAGGAACACCGAUGGCGAAGGCAAUCCCCUGGGCCUGUACUGACGCUCAUGCACGAAAGCGUGGGGAGCAAACAGG
rnacentral:rRNA from 1 species